rnacentral:lncRNA from 1 species
AUGGCUUCAACAAACAGAGGAUGUACUCAGUUGCUGAUAGUUCUUAUAAAUGAAACAGCCUGUCUGUGGCCUUAAAAUCCAGGCUCUGUGUGAAUGGAGAGAGAAGGACAGAAGCUGCUUGAAACAAAGACGCUAAUGGCUCCAAAAUGUGCCUGGUCUGACUCUGCUUGAAUCCUGUUUUGAAGUACUUCAGAUCUGUCAUCUGUGUGGCCCCCCAUCAUCUUCAUUCAGAUCUUGCUGUCCAAGAUGGCUUUAGGCUGUAUCCCUUCCUGGAAGAGGGACAGUGCCAAAGAAUGAAGUGUUUGCACCAUUUCCAUGUGCAAUAACCCCAGCUGCCAUGCAGUCCCUUGGAGCCUCUUGAACUAAGAGUACCUGACCCACAUUAACCAUUCAUGCAAUCAGUAACAGGCAUAAAGGCUCAUCCCAAAAUGAGGAGGACUCAGAUUUGUUUCUUCUCUUUGAACAACAUAUUUGAAUUACCCAGGGUUUUGGAGGGACUUAAGAUGGGUUUCUGCCUGAAGCCAGAGGUGUGGUGCAAAUCCUCUGUUGCUGUGAACUGCUUUAGCCUAGCUGGAAAAGAAGCCACCAAUACAAGUAAGUCAGCUUUCCCCUCCUAAAUUCUUCUGUGUAGGAGCAAUAAUGGUAGAAUUUCCAAUUUUUUUUUCCAGUACAGACUUUCUUAAAAAUGGGUAUUUCAGCUCCAUGAGGUCACCUUAAUGCCAUCAGUUUUCAGAUGGUCGUAUGGUUUAAGGCACAGUCCUAUGCUUGCAUACAAUAAACAAAGUGAUGUGGUGAUCCUCA